rnacentral:rRNA from 1 species
GACGAACGCUGGCGGCGUGCUUAACACAUGCAAGUCGAACGGAAAGGCCCUGCUUUUGUGGGGUGCUCGAGUGGCGAACGGGUGAGUAACACGUGAGUAACCUGCCCUUGACUUUGGGAUAACUUCAGGAAACUGGGGCUAAUACCGGAUAGGAGCUCCUGCUGCAUGGUGGGGGUUGGAAAGGUUCGGCGGUUGGGGAUGGACUCGCGGCUUAUCAGCUUGUUGGUGGGGUAGUGGCUUACCAAGGCUUUGACGGGUAGCCGGCCUGAGAGGGUGACCGGCCACAUUGGGACUGAGAUACGGCCCAGACUCCUACGGGAGGCAGCAGUGGGGAAUAUUGCACAAUGGGCGGAAGCCUGAUGCAGCAACGCCGCGUGCGGGAUGACGGCCUUCGGGCUGUAAACCGCUUUCGCCUGUGACGAAGCGUGAGUGACGGUAAUGGGUAAAGAAGCACCGGCUAACUACGUG